rnacentral:lncRNA from 1 species
GGCCCCGGAAGUCUCUCAUUCGAACAACGGGCCGAUCAUCACAAUCAAACAUGAGCUCCAAGUCAGGCAGCCUUCCAGGGUACCAUCUCAAGAGCUGCAAAAUGCCCCACAAGGUGAACAUAUCUCUGGUCUGGAUGGACUUUCUGAACUUCUCAACAUGUCCCUGGUGAUUUCGGUCUGCUUUCAGGGCAGUAGAUCUUGAUGGAUCCAUCGGAAGUAGUCAGGGCAGGUCAUGUUGGUUGAUGAAUGGUCAGGAUUUGUGGGGUUGUGUUUGGUGGGGUAGUUUCCAGGGCAGGCUUUGGUGAGGUUGCCUGCACUGCAGUUGAGUGGGUACUCUAAUCUGAUUGGUGCUUUCGUGAAUGAGAGUAAUGACUUCUGGGAGGGAUCACCUGGAAAUGUAGACUGCCAAACAAAUUUUUUAUUUUUGUAGUUAGUGAUCAAAAGCUUGGAUGUAUUUUAAUAUGAUGCACUAUUGUGGUGUACGUUCAGGCCAUGUUAGACAAAACGAGAGGGUAAAUCCGAAAUGUCAAUGUUCUAAUAUUUUAUUCUCAUUCUUAAACACCAAAAAAUAAAAAUAAAUAAAGAAUUAUGCAACAAUUAACCUUGUUGUAAAUUUAAAAAAAAAAAGUUUCCAAAAAUAAUUUUGUCUUAUACUUUCUUUUCUCAAUUUCUUUAGAUUAUCUUUGCUUUUUUUGAAAAUUUUGAGUAAAAGAAAAUAAAUAAGAAAAAAAAACCUAUAAAGUUCUUUCUCUUUGGUUACCAUGAAAAAAAUUUAAAAAUAAAUAAAUAAAUUUAUCAAAAAUACACUUUCUCUCCACUUUUCAACAUUUUUUCACUCUUCAACUUUUUCUACAUUUUUUUUUAAAGAAAAAAAAAUCAUGGUAUCAAAAGUAAGAAAAUGAUUUUCUUUAUAUAUUUUUUUCCUGUUUUUUUAGCACUUUUCAAGAAAGAAAAGUAAUCUAAAUCAUGCUUGAUUUCAAAAAAAAAAUAUUAAUAAUUGAUUUACUAUACAAAAUAUAAAAGAAAAUAAAAUAUUAUUAAAAUUAGUUAAAAAGUUAUACAUAUUCAAAUUAUUUAAUUUUGUAACAAAAGAGGAAAAAUAAUUGAAAUAAAUUUGAAGAAAUAUGCAAAAAUAAUUUAUUUUAAAAAGAUUUAUAUUUUCAAGUUUUUAUCAAUCUAUAAUUUAUAAAUAAAAUUUUAAUGCGUAUUUAACAUUAAUAUCUUUUGGAAAAUAAAAACUCUAAAUGAAAAAUUAAAAUGUGAAUCACCCAAUGGUGAUAUGCAAUGUCACAAAAGCUUACCAAAAAAGUUCUAAUAUUUUUAUUAAAAAUUAGUUUUAGAAAAUAAUAUAUAAAUAAAUGUAAUAAAUAAGAGUAUAGUUUUAUUUAACAAAAAAAUAUAUAUUAAUGUAAAUUAAAAUUUUAUGUCUCAUUUGUAAUAAUUCUAAAAAAUUUAUUAUUUUUUUAUUUAUAUAUUUUAUAAUUUUUUUAAUAUAAAAUUAAAGGAAUAGAAAAUAAAUUAAAAGUGACUUAUCAAUAUCAACCAUGAACUUGUUAUCAAUAUAUUUAAUUUGGUUAGGUUGAUCGAUAUCAACAAAUUACUUUUAAUUGAAUAGAAAAUGUUAAAUAUUUUGAUUUUUUUUUUUUGUCAAAAAAUAAAUAUAACAUUUAGAAAGGGAAUUAAAGAGAAAGAAAAUAGGGACACAAAUAAAGAACAUUUGAAAGGAAAUGAACUCCAUAUUAGUUAUAAAUAUAAAAAUAAUAAAGUAAACAUAAAAAAAAGUUGUUCAUUAAUUUAGCUUAUUUAAUAUUAAAAUGUUGUAAGUUUAUUCAAAAUGAUUCAAUUAAAGAGUCUAUAAAGUGAUUUUAAAUCUAUAGAAGUUUAGUAAAUUAAGUAAAUUAAAAAUAUGUUUUUGAUGCAUAAACCAUAUUAAUUAAUAUAUAAAAACUUUUAUAUUUUAAAAAUGAUAAUUAAACCAAUCAUUAUAUCAAUUAAAAUAAAUAAAUAACUAGUUGGUUUUAAUAGUUCAUUAUUUUUGUUACAUCACUUGUGUCAUUAAUUUUAAUUUUUAUAUCUAUGUCACUUCAUAAUAAUGUUGUUUUAUGGUGACAUGAAACAUUACUCAACCAUAACCUAGAGUUGUUCAUAACAUUGGGAGCCUUGAGCUUAAGAUCUAAAGUGGCUAAUGUCAUACAUAGCUUUGAGUUGUUCAUAGCAUCUAAAGCCAUGAGCUCACAACUCAGAGUCUUUCAUGCCAACCAUAGCAUAGAGCUAUUCAUUGCAUCUAGGCCCUGAGACUAUAAGUCAUAGUCGUUCAUGUCAUCCACAACUCUCAGUUGUUUAUAGCAUUUAGAGCCCUAAGCUCACGACACAAAAUCAUUCAUGUCAACCACAACCCAACAUUGCUCACAGAAUUUAGAGCCCUGAGCUCAUAACCAUGAGUAUCCUAUGUUAUCCAUAGCCCCUAACUUUUCAUAGCAACUAGAGCCUUGAGCUCACAAUCGAGAGUCGUUCAUAUCAACAAUAACCCUCAGUUGUUCAUACUAUCUACAGCGCUGAGCUCAUGACCUGUAGUCUUCGAUGUCAUUGACAACUCUAAGUUGUUCAUAGCAAUAAGAGCCCUAAGCUCACGACCCAAAGUCGUUCAUUUGAACCAUAGCCUAAAUCUAUUCAUAGCAUCUAGAGCUUUGAGCUAACGACCUAGAGUACCUCGUGUCUUCUAUAACCUUGAGUUAUUAAUAGCAUAUAGAGCCUAAGCUCACGACUCGAAGUCGUUCAUGUCAACCAUAACCCAGAGCUGCUCAUAACAUUUAGAGCACUGAGCUCAAGACCUAAAGUGGCUAAUGUCAUCCAUAGCCCUAAGUUGUUCAUAGCAUUUAUAGCCAUGAGCUCACAACUCGGAGCCUUUUAUGCCAACCAUAGCUUAGAGUUGUUCAUUGCAUGUAGGGACCUGAGACCACGAGUCAUAGUUGUUUAUGUCAUCCAAAACUCUGAGUUGUUUAUAGCAUCUAAAGCUUUGAGCUCACGACACAGAGUCAUUCAUGUCAACUACAACCCAACAUUGUUCAUAGCAUUUGGAGCCUUGAGCUCACAACCAAGAGUAUUCCAUGUUAUCCAUAGCCCUUAACUAUUCAUAGCAACUAGAGCCUUGAGCUCGUAAUCGAGAGUCGUUUAUGUCAACAAUAACCCUGAGUUGUUCGUAACAUCUACAAGGUAUCAAGUCCAAUUGCUUAGAGGGGGGGAGGAAUUAACCCAAAAUGUUUCCUUUGAGUUUGAUGUCUGAAUGACCAGCUCCCCCAAACAGAAGUUAAAGUGAAUCCCAUGAAUUACACAAUUGGUAUAUGGAAGAAAACUAAAUUUAGAUGAUUAGCAGAGUAUACAAUUACAUCCAAGAGAUCUUGAUCUAUUUAUUAGUCAACAAUGCUUAUGCAUGAGAAAAUUUACAUGUUUGGUUCCUAAGAAUAAGUAACAUGAAAAGGACACAAAGAGAACUCUUUUCUCAUCUACAUUAUAUACAAAAUUUAGUCAUUUUGCCUUCAGAAUAUUUGCAAUGGUCUCUUCUCCAACACUUCCACUUUCUUCCCAUGUCUCCACUUGCUUCAUCACAUGGUCUUUCUUCUCAAGCACAUCUUUGAGUUCUGCUGAACUAAAGGGAGGAGGCAUGAUGCAUGGACCUGUAUCCGAAGGACUCUUCACCAUGCUUUGGAGCUUAUAAUCCUUCUCCAACCCUUCAACAGCGCAAGCCAUCAUCUCUGGGCAGAACUCCACAGCCAUUGGAGGCACAGUUGGCUUGUAUUUAAGCAGCUUUGCGUACAUGGACAACAGAUGGAACAUGUAGUCAUACACAAAUUUCAUCUUUAUCUCCUCUUGGACGAAGCUGCUCCCCGCCUUUCCUAUCUUCUGUGCCUGCUGGGUGGUAUCAAGGUUAGAAAAUAGAGCAAGAUGGAAAAUUUUCUAAUAGAGAAAUCGAUCUUUCACCUUCUCUGUAUGGUUGUUGCACCAGUCAGUGGCAAACUUGAUGGAUUUGCACAUGUCCUUGUGUUUUAUAGGCCAGUAAUGGACCAGAGGCUGUAAACUUCUUGUGAAGAACUCAUAGUAUUGAGGCUUGACAAGCAGGGUCACAGAAUCACAAGCUAGAAUGUAUUUUUCACUAACUGACCAUGCAAUUCCCUCGGUAUAAAUCUUGUAUCUGGAUCAGUUGAGGGGUCAUGGGAAAAAACACAAAAGAAAGGAAAAAAAUCCUUAAAGUUUCUCCAAAUUCAAUUACUCACCUAUGAGUGCAUUGGCUUGCUAAAUCUGAAGUUUUGAAUCCACUUUGAACCUCUCGACCCCAGUCCUGCAAAUCUGAAGCUAUCAGCACGAUUUAUGUAGUACUGUAACUGAAAAGAUUUGGCCGAGUCAUGAAGGUUUGUUACCAUUAUAUAAAGACGAGCAUUCCAGUCUUGUUCAUCGGUGUUUCUACAUUUGAAAAGCUCUUUUCUGACCACACCCAUCUUGACAUUUCCUUUCCAAUAAGCGUAGGGUUCUCUAUCUAUCCACUUGGUUCUGUAGUUGCCCUCCUUCAGGUCCUUUUUAAAGCCAUUCCAUGGUUUUAUGUUGGUCUCUGGCCUGCACAACCAAAUGUGAAAUUGCAUAAUCUUCCAAAGAACCAUCACAAGAGAAUGGUAGAAGUCUUACCAACCCCAAAAUGACCAGUCCGGGAAGACAAUAUCAUACGUUUCAUCAUCUCCACAGUAAUGAAACAAUGGUGGUGGAACAGUGGCAUCAGGUCCUUGGUAUAAAUGUGUCCUUAUCAUCGGUCUGUCGCGGCAUUCAAACAUCAAAUCGAAGUCCGGAAGCUUCCCCGGAUACAUCCUCAGCAGCUGCAGAAUGCCCCAUAUGGUGAACUCAUCUCUAUUGCGGUUCACCCUCUUGUACUUUUCCACAUAAACCUUGCCAUCAACCACCACAAUCCUGAUACUUGCAGCAGGCCUUGCUUUUUCCACCAUGGCUCUCGUGAUCCCCGUGUCCAUCCAUGGCCUCAGAUCUUCGUAGAUCCACCGAAAGUAUUCUGGGCAGGUCUCACUGGGCGGUUCACCGGGCUCAAAUGCCACCGGUCCAGUAACCGGGCAGGUCUGUGACAUGUUUCCCUCUCUGCAAUUCAGAGAAUACUCAAAUUUCUGACUAUGGAGCUUUGUUGGACUAGUAUUCUUCAAAAAAUCUCCUGUGAGAAUAGACUGGAAGAACAAAAAUUAGAAUCAGAAAAAAGGAAAAUAUUUUCAAGAACUUUCCAUUAAAAAACAUAUGUAUAUAAUAAAACAUAUAAACAUAAAAACAAGAAGAAAGAAACAUCAUGCAUGGGGUGGGUGGAGAAAGAAUUAUGCAGAUGACAGGAUCAACUUACAACAUUAAUGCAUCGGGUGGAAACGAGAGCUCCAAUGAAGAUCAGGAUGAUGGUGAAGAGAGAAACCGUCACGGUAGCACCUUUCUUGAAGGGACCAGCCAAACCAGCUCCAUAAUUUUGAUUAGGAGCCGUCUCUCCCGUAUGGGACAACUUCCUAUUACGAACAACCUUCCCCAUUGCCUUCUCCUGAUCCAAGAUGACCCUCUUUCCACUUCAAUUUGAAAAUGUUCAGAAUUAAUCCUCAAUGAUAGCUCUAAUAUUUUAAAAGCUUAAUUAAGAACGUCAUUGAUCGAACAAUAUAAUUAAGGUACAAAAUUCCGAUAUAAAACUUUUUUUUAUGGUGUAUGUAACGUGGAUACAAAGAAAUACGUUUGUGCUUCUUGGACUACUGGGAAUUAUGUAUAUAGGAGGUCUUAAUUAUCAUUAUAAUUUGGUUAGGUGGGUUCCAAAUACGAAGUUACGCGUCCUAAAUGAUGAAAAAGACUGAUGGUUGAGGGUAUGGUUUUUGACUCUUCAACACAACCUGCUCAUUAUUUCAUAUUAGUUUAUCAAUAUUUGUUAGGUCUCGUUUGGUAAAUAACCAUAAUAAGAGAGAGGUGUGUUAGGGAUGGCGUGGCAGCGAAUUUGUAGAGGAAUCAAAAGUUUGGGGCUUAGAAUUCUGUGUUCGAAGCGAGAGGGUGUGGUUGGUGACUUGACCGGAUGAAGAUGUAAGUCGUGUAACACAUCCACUAGUAUUGACUUCGAUUUUGGGUCUGUUCUUGCGUCCCAUACAGGCUAGAGUAAGCUUCCUUCGUGGAAAUAUUCAUCUCUUUCUUUCUAUAAAUUAUAUUUAAGAAAAAACAAAUUGAAUAGUAAAAUCACAUGGACAAUAUUCUUUCAAAUUCCAAGAAGAUUAUGAGACAAUUUUUUGUAUUACUCUGAGGCCAUAUUUGGUUUUCGAAAAAUAUCAAGAAAAAAAAAUGGUUUUCAUAUAUUUAAUUGUAUCAUAGAAAAUAUAAAAAAAAUCAAAUAUAAUUAAAAUUAGUUAAAAAUUUAUAUAUUUUAAAAGUGAAAUAAAUUUGAAAAAAUAUAUAUAAAAAUAAUUUAUUGACUUUAAAUAUGUUUUUUUUAUUUUCUGGUAACCUAAUAUAGUUUAAGGGUCUAUUUGAAAAAUGCAUUAUUUAUUAAUUGAUGGAAACAAAAGUGUAACUAAUAUUGUACAAUUGAAUUUUAUGUUUGUAAUUAUAUUUUUGAAAAUACUUAUUGAAGAAAAGGAUAUUUUUUAUAUUUUUAGAAAAUUUAAUUCAAUAAGAAUUUAUUCCUUGUAUCAUGUUUACAGAGAAGAAAAAGAUGGUCAUGUGAAAUUUUUAGCUAAUGUAUUAGUAUUAAUAGUCAUGUUGUUGGUAUGGAAAAUAAGGCAUUAAAGAAUGAGAACCAAGCAUUGCUUGAUAAAAAAAAUCCAAUGGAAAAAAGAAGAAUAAAAUUUGUGAUUAACAAAAAAAUUAGAAUCAGCACAUGCUUUGAAUAAUAUCGAAUAAAGUGAAUGUUACGAAAAGAAUUAUCAUUCAAGCACAAAGGCAUUAUAUUCUUGUUUACGUGUUGAAAAAAAAAACAUGGAAUUGACUAUAUUGAUGAAGACAAGACUCUAAUGGAUUUUAAAUUAUUUAUUUAUCAAUUGGGUUUUGUUACAUUGAUUAGAUGUGUCACGUGUAAAACUCAAAUCCUGUUACAUUGUACUCGAUUAUCAUUUAUUUGUAUCAAAUAUGAAAUUAUAAUAUUUUGUAUUUUGGUCUUAUUUAUUUGUAUCUUAGAUUUAUCUAUUUAUAUCCUUAUUUAACGGGUUCAAAUUUUAUAAUGCACUUUUAAAAAAUUUAUAAGAAAAAAAUCUAAGAUAUUGAAUCGGUAUCUAUAAAACUUUAUUUUGUGCUUUCAACGAUUCAGAUUCAAGCAAUUAUUUUGUGAUUAACUAUUUCACGAACUCAAUAAAAAGCAUUCAAAGUCAUGUGAAUUGUUUUCCUUAAAAGCGUACCAUAUUCUUUGUGCCUAACUUUGUUAUCAAUUGGUUAACAUCUUUAGGACUAUAUACGUCACUUUGAAAUUUUAUUUCAAAUCAAUGAUUUCAUUAAUUUUAUUUCAAAAUCAGGAAAAAUGGGAUUUACAUCACUCUUUGAAUUGGUUGACCCAAUAUAUUGAAGACAAAUUGCAGGAUGAAAAAUUCAUAUUCAAUCAGCAUACAAAGAAGAGAAGGCUUUAUAGCUGCUUAUUUUGAUUCUCCCAAUACGCAUGCCCCCACAUCUCCACUUGCCUUGUUAAAUUCUCCUUUUUGUUCAAGAAAGCCCUGAAGGACUCAGGACUAUAGUGUGGAGGCAUGGAACAUGGGGCUGAAUCAGUAGGAGAAUUCACCGUGGAUUCCAUUACAAACUUCUGCAACACCGCGUCUGCACUGCAAUCCAUUGUUUCCAAGCAGAGCUCGACCGCUCCUGGUGGUACUGCUGGCUUGAACUUCAAGAGCUUUGAGUACUCAUUCAACAGAUGAAACAUGUAGUCAUACACAAAAUCCAUUUUUAGAUCCUCGUGAAUGAAGUUGCUUCCUGCCUUACCAAUUUCCUGGGCCUAAGUACACAAUUUCACAAAAUUUUGUUUCCAAGUUCAACUCUUACAAAAAAAAAAAAAAAAAAAUUCACAUCAACAAAUUAUUUUUAAUUCAUGUCACUUCUUUUCCUAACUUUUUUUUUUUUUUUUUGGUGUUUUUCAAAGCAAACAUAACCUAAGAUUUCAUGGGUUACCUUUUCAGGGUGAGUGUUACCCCAUUCAACAGCAAAUUUAAGAUCUCUACACUUGUUUCUAGGCCUAAUGGGCCAGUAGUGCUGCAAUGGCACCAUGCUUCUAGUGAAGAAAUCAUGGUGAUAAGGUUUUGUCAGAAGUGUCAUGGAGUCGCAUGCUAGGACGUAUUUUUCACUCACAGACCAUCCCCAUCCUUCUACAUAGAUCUUGUACCUUCAUGUGAAUAUAGCCCACAAGAAAAUUUCAAAAUUUUCUCAAGAAAAAAGCAUAAAAGAAAUGAGAGAAAAUUGAAGUACCUGUGGGUGCAUUGAUCUGCUAGAUUAGAGUUCUGGUAACCUGUUCUGGAUUCUUUUUCCCAGACUUGUUCACAAGUUCUUUCUCUUUGGUUACCAUGAAAAAAUUUAAAAAUAAAUAAAUAAAUUUAUCAAAAAUACACUUUCUCUCCACUUUUCAACAUUUUUUCACUCUUCAACCUUUUCUACAUUUUUUUAAAGAAAAAAAAAUCAUGGUAUCAAAAGUAAGAAAAUGAUUUUCUUUAUAUUUUUUUUUUCCUUUUUUUUUUUUUAGCACUUUUCAAGAAAGAAAAGUAAUCUAAAUCAUGCUUGAUUUCAGAAAAAUAAUAAUUAAUAAUUGAUUUACUAUACAAAAUAUAAAAGAAAAUAAAAUAUUAUUAAAAUUAGUUAAAAAGUUAUACAUAUUCAAAUUAUUUAAUUUUUUAACAAAAGAGGAAAAAUAAUUGAAAUAAAUUUAAAGAAAUAUGCAAAAAUAAUUUAUUUUAAAAAGAUUUAUAUUUUCAAGUUUUUAUCAAUCUAUAAUUUAUAAAUAAAAUUUUAAUGCAUAUUUAACAUUAAUAUCUUUUGGAAAAUAAAAUCUCUAAAUGAAAAAUUAAAAUGUGAAUCACCCAAUGGUGAUAUGCAAUGUCAUAAAAGCUUACCAAAAUGUUCUAAUAUUUUUAUUAAAAAUUAGUUUUAGAAAAUAAUAUAUAAAUAAAUGUAAUAAAUAAGAGUAUAAUUUUAUUUAAGAAAAAAAAAUAUGUUAAUGUAAAUUAAAAUUUUAUGUCUCAUUUGUAAUAAUUCUAAAAACUUUAUUAUUUUUUUAUUUAUAUAUUUUAUUAUUUUAUUCUUUUUUUUAAUAUAUAAAUUAAAGAAAUAGAAAAUAAAUUAAAAGUGACUUAUCGAUAUCAACCAUGAACUUGUUAUCAAUAGAUUUAAUUUGGUUAGGUUGAUCGAUAUCAACAAGUUACUUUUAAUUGAAUAAAAAAUGUUAAAUAUUUUGAUUUUUUUAUUCCGUCAAAAAAUAAAUAUAACAUUUAGAAAGGGAAGUAAAGAGAAAGAAAAUGGGGACACAAAUAAAGAACAUUUGAAAGGAAAUGAACUCCAUAUUAGUUAUAAAUAUAAAAAUAAUAAAGUAAACAUAAAAAGGUUGUUCAUUAAUUUAGCUUAUUUAAUAUUAAAAUGUUGUAAGUUUAUUCAAAAUGAUUCAAUUAAAGAGUCUAUAAAGUGAUUUUAAAUCUAUAGAAGUUUAGUAAAUUAAGUAAAUUAAAAAUAUGUUUUUGAUGUAUAAACCAUAUUAAUUAAUUUAUAAAAACUUUUAUAUUUUAAAAAUGAUAAUUAAACCAAUCAUUAUAUCAAUUAAAAAAAAUACAAUAACUCGGUUUUAAUAGUUCAUUAUUUUUGUUACAUCACUUGUGUCAUUAAUUUUAAUUUUUAUAUCUAUGUCACUUCAUAAUAAUAUUGUUUUAUAGUGACAUGAAACAUUACUCAACCAUAACCUAGAGUUGUUCAUAGCAUUGAGAGCCUUGAGCUUAAGAUCUAGAGUGGCUAAUGUCAUCCAUAGCUCUAAGUUGUUCAUAGCAUCUAAAGUCAUGAGCUAACAACUCAAAGUCUGUCAUGCCAACCACAACCUAGACCUAUUCAUUGCAUCUAGGGCCCUGAGACUACAAGUCAUAGUUGUGCAUGUCAUCCAUAACUUUGAGUUGUUUAUAGCAUCUAAAGCCCUAAGCUCACGACACAAAAUCAGUCAUGUCAACCACAACCCAACAUUGUUCACAAAAUUUAGAGCCCUUAUAAGCUCAUAACCAUGAGUAUCCCAUGUUAUCCAUAGCCCCUAACUGUUCAUAGCAACUAGAGCCUUGAGCUCAAAAUCGAGAGUCGUUCAUGUCAACAAUAACCCUCAGUUGUUCAUACUAUCUACAACGCUGAGCUCAUGACCUGUAGUCUUCGAUGUCAUUGAAAACUCUAAGUUGUUCAUAGCAAUAAGAGCCCUAAGCUCACGACUCGAAGUCGUUCAUUUGAACCAUAGCCUAAAUCUGUUCAUAGCAUCUAGAGCCUUGAGCUAACGACCUAGAGUAUCUCGUGUCUUCCAUAACCUUGAGCUAUUAAUAGCAUAUAGAGUCUGAGCUCACGACUUGAAGUCGUUCAUGUCAACUAUAAUCCAGAGCUGCUCAUAACAUUUAGAGCAUUGAGCUCAAGACCUAAAGUGGCUAAUGUCAUCCAUAGCCCUGAGUUGUUCAUAGCAUCUAUAACCAUGAGCUCACAACUCGGAGCCUUUUAUGGCAACUGUCAGCCCCUUAGACCCUUAACUUAACCAUGGAGGAAUAGGCAUCAUGGGUAGGCCUUGCACCCAUGAAAGCCUAAGAUGAAAGCAGGGAAAUCUUAGAGGUUUGGUGGUUCAAACUCCAGGAGCCAUGUGAGGAGGCCGCGGGCAAGCCAGACGCCCACCGCGCGUGCACCAAGGGCGAGUCAGACGCGUACCGCGCGCGCACUGUGGGCGAGUUAGACGCGCACCGCGCACGCACCACGGGCGAACCAGACGCGCAUCGCCCACGCACACGGGUGAGCCAGAUGCGCACCACGAGUAGGCCAGACACGCACCGCGAGCGAGCCAGACAUGCACCGCGUGCGCACCAGAUGGGCAUCGCAUGUGCACCUGACUUAGGUGGUGCAGAUGAAGGCUGACUUGGAAUUUUAAUUUAUAAUUAAAAUUAUAUUCCAUUAUGCAUCCUCAAACAUAUUGAUGUCUCCUCAAGAAACAAUGAAAAUGGCUCGUAUUGCUCUUUAAGGGGGGGGGGGGGGGGAGGGGACUCCAAGGAGGGAGCCCCCCAAAAAAACCUUGACCGCCCCAUGGGACGGCCUUAGCGUGCCAAAAACACCCCACGCGACUUGGGCACCCCCACCUGGGCCCCCCGACAUGGGUGUUGGGCACCCCCCGGCCCCAACGGCACGGGGCUUGGGGGGGCCCAUCCCCCCCCCCCGCAAGCCCAAGGGGGCCUAAACCUUGUGCGGGGAGCUAGCUGAAGAAACCAUGGGCACAAAGCCAUGGGCUAAUGGCUCCCAAAACUGACUCCCACCCAGAUGCCCACCCACAGCACAGGGGCGCAAUGCCCUGUGCACCAAAAAAGAUUAACCCUGGGCGCCAUGCCCUGGUUCGUUGCUGAAAAACUUGGAAACANNNNNNNNNNNNNNNNNNNNNNNNNNNNNNNNNNNNNNNNNNNNNNNNNNNNNNNNNNNNNNNNNNNNNNNNNNNNNNNNNNNNNNNNNNNNNNNNNNNNAAGAAACAAUGAAAAUGGCUCGUAUUGCUCUUUAAGGGGGGGGGGGGGGGUAGGUGACUCAAAGGAGGGAGCCACCAAGAGAAGCCUUGACCGCACCAUGGCACGGCCUUAGCGUGCCAAAGACACACGACGCGACUUGAGCACGCACACAUGGGCUCCACGACAUGUGUGUUGUGCACCCCGCGGCCGCAACGGCACGGGGCUUGGUGUGGCCUAUCCCCUCCCCGCGCAAGCACAAGGGUGCCUAAGCCUUGUGCGGUGAGCUAGCUGAUGAAACCAUGGGCACAAUGCCAUGGUCUAAUGGCUCCAAUAGCUGACUCGCACCGAGAUGCCUACGCACAGCACAGGGGCGCAAUGCCCUGUGCACCAAGAAGGAUUAGCCAUGGGCGCAAUGCCAUGGUUCGUUGCUGAUAAGCUUGGAAGCAAGCAACAAGCCCAAGCCAUGGGCACCUAGACAUGGCACGGGCUCAUUCAUCAGGGUGAGGAAGGCACACUGAUGCACCAAACGCUUGGUCAGAUGGGUGCUACACGCUGCCUAGCUCAGAGGGACUUGAUCAAAGACAUGCUGAUGGGCACCCAAUCACAAGAGGCGCCUUGAGGGGGAGGGGUCUGCUUGUUAGGGGGACUCACCAGCAGCUUGGCGAGCAAGACCUGAAGGAGAUGGCAGUGCAGCUAGCAAGUGGCAGCUAGCUCAGACAAACCAGUGACCAAGUCAAGCCGUCAUUGACCUAUAGUUGGCUGAAGGAUGAUGGCUGGUGCAAGUGUGUGGCAUGUGCAGGCCACUAUCUGGGGUGGUGGGUGGUUAUGUAGGGCAGUUGAGAGCAGUUCUGGCCAGUUGCAUGACCACCUAGUUGGCUCCAAGAUUUGAAUUGAGGGAAUUCAAAUUUGUAACUGCAGAGUGAGUCAUUUAAAUAGGGCUCCUACAGCCUUAAAACAAAGGGAGAGAGUUUGGGGAAAAGGGUUCCUUCUCGUAUGCCUUGGGUGAGUGCAUUGUACUCUGGUUCAAGAAGCAAUUUUGUUUUAUAAGAGUGAUUAAUACAAGUUGGGAAAGGAUUCCCGUAACCUUGUGUGUCCCUGUUGCUUGUUUAUUUCUGUAUUCUACUUUGUUCUUCUAAACGCUAGGAAGGGAAGGUUGGCUAAGGAAGGGUCCUUAGCACCACACACUCGUGAAAAAUUAAGUGAGAUAACCAGGGGUGUGACAGCAACCAUAGCUUAGAGUUGUUCAUUGCAUCUAGAGACCUAAGACCACGAGCCAUAGUCGUUCAUGUCAUCCAAAACUCUGAGUUGUUUAUAGUAUCUAGAGUCUUGAGCUCACGACAUAGAGUUAUUCAUGUCAAUCACAACCCAACAUUGUUCAUAGCAUUUGGAGCCUUAAGCUCACAACCAAGAGUAUUCCAUGUUAUCUAUAGCCCUUAACUGUUCAUAGCAACUAGAGCCUUGAGCUCGUAAUCGACAGUCGUUUAUGUCAACAAUAACUCUAAGUUAUUCAUUGCAUCUACAAGGUAUUAAGUCCAGUUGCUUAGAAGGGGGGGUUGGGUUGGGGGGUGGGGGAAUUAACCCAAAAUGUUUCCUUUGAGUUUGAUGUCUGAAUGACCAGCUCCUGCAAAUCUAAAGCUUCUACAACACCGCAUCUGCACUACAAUCCAUUGUUUCCAAGCAGAGCUCGACCGCUCCUGGCAGUACUGCUGGCUUGAACUUCAAGAGCUUUGAGUACUCAUUCAACAGAUGAAACAUGUAGUCAUACACAAAAUCCAUUUUUAGUUCCUCGUGAAUGAAGUUGCUUCCUGCCUUACCAAUUUCCUGGGCCUAAGUACACAAUUUCACAAAAUUUUGUUUCCAAGUUCAACUCUUACAAAAAAAAAAAAAAAAAAAUUCACAUCAACAAAUUAUUUUUAAUUCAUGUCACUUCUUUUCCUAACUUUUUUUUUUUUUUUUUGGUGUUUUUCAAAGCAAACAUAACCUAAGAUUUCAUGGGUUACCUUUUCAGGGUGAGUGUUACCCCAUUCAACAGCAAAUUUAAGAUCUCUACACUUGUUUCUAGGCCUAAUGGGCCAGUAGUGCAGCAAUGGCACCAUGCUUCUAGUGAAGAAAUCAUGGGGAUAAGGUUUUAUCAGAAGUGUCAUGGAGUCGCAUGCUAGGACAUAUUUUUCACUCACAGACCAUCCCCAUCCUUCUACAUAGAUCUUGUACCUUCAUGUGAAUAUAGCCCACAAGAAAAUUUCAAAAUUUUCUCAAGAAAAAAGCAUAAAAGAAAUGAGAGAAAAUUGAAGUACCUGUGGGUGCACUUAUAUGCUAGAUUAGAGUUCUUGAACCCUCCAUUGGAUUCUUUUUCCCAGUUCUGGUCACCUGUUAGGGUAUAGCUUUAGAAGCUGCAAAAUCCCCCACAUUGUGAACAAGUCUCUUGUUUCUUGUUUGAAAAGACUUCCUGUACUGCUCCACAUAGGCUUUUCCAUUCACUAUCACUAAUCUAAAAUCUGCAUCCCCUUCGGCACUUUCCACUGCAAAUCUUGAUAUUCCCGUACUCUUCCAUGGCCUCAAAUCUUCAUGGAUCCAUCUGAAGUACUCAGGACAUGCCUCUACUGAUAAUUUCCCGGUUACACUAGUCGUCGGAUGAUUGGCUGGGCAUGCCUGUGCCAUGCUCCCUAUGGUGCAAUUUACUAGGAUCUUAGGGAAAAUCCUUGGUUUUUUUGUGUUUGGAGCCGAAUUCUGAUAUGAAAAACUAGUCAUCAUAGGCUGGAAAACCAACUCAUCACCAAGAAAUAUAGAUACAAUUAGUCAAAGUCGUAAUUGAGUUAAUUGGUAAUUCAACAUGAUAUCGGAAAUUCUAUUCGAUAUUAGGAUUUAUCAUUUUAAUAAAUAAAAAAAUUGCAUGAUAUGAUUGAUUAUUAGAGUUCAAAUUAAGAACAAGACAUGAUGGGAAGAAAACAAAAAAAUGUGCAAAGAAAUAGGAGAAGCAAAGGACAAGAGGAUCAAGAAAGACUUACAAGGUGAGUCCAAUAGAGUAAGACAAGGAUAAUGAUAGAUAAUAUAACAAAGAAAUGGAAAACAUUUGAUGAAGUUCCUCUCAACCCCCUGUUCCCUUGAUGUUACCCACAUGGAGAAGAUGAUACACAAGAAUUUAGAGGAGAACACAAGUAUAAAAAAUAUAUUAAAAGUUAAAAUAAACAAAAGUAAAUAAAAAUAAAAAUAAAAAUGUACAACUAAUCAUAUUAAUUAAUUUUGAUUUUUCUAUAAUAAAUUAUUUUAUUGAUUUCCUUUUUCUCUUUAGGAUGCUUUGCUUUCUUAAUCUUCUUGCUUUUAUUUUUAUUAGUUGUCAUAAUGAAAAGAUCUUGCAGACCCACUAUUUGAGUUUUACUUUUAAUAAAUUUUAAUAUUUUUUAUUAGGAAUUGUUCAUUUCAACAUAAUGAAGGAACAAUUCUUAAAAAUAAAAAUUUUAAAAAGAAAAGUUAUUUUACAAAAAAAAAAUUAAAAAUUAAAAAUUGUGGAGGAUGUAAAAUGUAAAUUACUUUGAAAGAGGAUAUAGAUGAAAUAGAUAUUUUAAAAUAAAAAGGUGGAUAAAUAUUUAAAGUAAUAUAUCUAAAUCAUAUUGGACAAUGAUUUAUUUUCACGAUGAAUUUGAAUAUACCAGAUAAAAAAAUAACUAAUAUAAAUAAAUAAAUAAAUAUACCAUUUCUAGAAUGAAGAAUGUAUUUAUGUAUUGAAAAAUUGGAAAUUUUGGAAAAUGCACAUACCGAAAUAUCAUGAAGGGUGGUCAAAGUUGGAUUUGAUUUUAUUUGUAAUUCUACUUCUAAUCAAACCAAAUCAAUGGAUUAAGAAAAUAUAAUUAAUCAAAAUCAAACAAAUUGGUAUGAAUUAAUUGGUAAAUUAGUUUGGCCCCUAACUUUUUUUUUUUUCUAAUAUCCAUCUUUUUAAUUUUCCAUUUAAAUAAUUUCGAAAGUUCAAUAAAUAUACCUUUUUAAGCUCUAAAUCAUAAACUUUUUUAAAAUUUAUCCUUUAAAUCGUUUCAAAGUUUUACAUUUAAUUUCCUUCUUUAAUGGAGAUUAUUCGAUACCAUAUUGUAAAAUUCUAUUUGAUACAAAAAAAAAAAAAAAAAAAAAAAGGAGAUAGAAGAUUUAGGUCGCAUUUGGUAAUUAUUUUUUAAAAUUUUUUUCUAAUAUCUUAUUGAACAAAUGUCUAUUUGAGAACCUAAUAUUAUUUUAAUUUAUUUUCUAUGUUUUUAAAUAUGUUUUAAAAAUGAUUUUUGUAUAUAAUACUUUAUUUUUAAUUAUUUUUAUAUUUGUGUAAUUGAAAAUAACUAAAAAAUAUUCCCUAAAAAUAACCAUGUUCCAUAUUCUUAAGAAUAAAAAAUUAUUUCUAUUUUUUUAUUAUCAAAUGUAUUUUUUUUCCAAAAAAAAAAAAAACUAUUUUUGAAAACAGUUGACAAAUAGGGCCUCAAUAACCCUGUUCAUGUAAGAAUUUUCAAGGUAAUAGUAUAUUCAUUUUGUCAAUAAGUUAUAGGAAAUCACAUUAUAAGUUAUUAAAUGUUGGUCUAGUGAAAAUUACCAAUUAUAAUCUACAAGUUAGAACCAUCUAGGAGAGGCCUUCUAUUGCUUCUUAUUCUGCUUAUCCCAAUAUUCAUUCUCCCACAGCUCCACUUGCCUUGUUGCAUUGGCUUUUCUCUCAAUAAAAUCAUGGAACCCUGGAGGAUCAUAUGGAGGAGGCAAGCUGCAAGGAGUGGUAUCAGUAGGAUUCUUCUCUAGGGAUUCCUCCAUGAACUUCCUCCAUGCACCUUCUGCAGGGCAUGCCAUUGUUUCUGCACAAACCUCCACUGCUCCUGGUGGUAUGGUUGGCUUGAACUUCAAGAGUUUCGCGUACUCGUUCAAUAGAUGGAACAUGUAAUCAUACACAUAAUCCAUCUUCAGAUCCUCCUGAAUGAACUUGCUCGUCGUCUCCCCCAUUGUUUGUGCCUGCAGGCCCAUGAAACUCAAUAGUCCACGUUUUGACAAAACGUAAUGCAUAAAUACUAUUAUUUGAAAAUAAUAGAUACCUUAUCGGUGUGAUUGUUGCCCCAUUCCACAGCAAACCUAAGAUCCCUACACUUGUUGUUGUCCCUAAUAGGCCAAUAAUGUUGCAAUGGCACCAACCCCCUUAUGAAGAAAUCAUGGUAACGGGGCCUUAUGAGUAAGGUCAUGGAGUCACAAGCUAGAAUGUACUUCUCACUCACAGACCACGCCCAUCCCUCUAUAUAAAUCUUGUAUCUUCAUGCCAAUAGCCCAAAGACAAAACCGUAGAGAACUUAUCAGCAUAAAUAUUACAACAAACUAUGAAUUGGGACACUGGAUUUGAGGGCUUACCUGUGGGUGCAUUGGUCCUCUAAGUUAGAUUGCCUGUACCCUAUUUUAGAUUGUUGGCCCCAGUCCUGAAACAAGUAGAAAAUGUAUUAGGCUGGAAUGAAUUGAGGUAGAAGAAGGGGUGAGGCAUAGGAUGAGGGAAUAGGAAUGUACCUGAAGGUAUAGGCGAGUAUUCCAGUCAGCUUUGUCGGAGACAUUGCAUUUGAGAAGAUCACCCCUUGUUGGAGCCACAUGGGGGUUUCCUCUCCAGUAUGCCAAGGGGACCCUGUCCUUCCAUUUGGUUCUUCUGUUGCCUUCUUUUAUGUCCUUUAGCACAUUUCUCCACGGCUUUAUAUUGGUCUCAGCCCUAUAAGAGCAAAGUUUAACCUCUAUCAAUUUUCACAUUAAGGGGAAAACCCCCCAAGAGGAGGCCAAUUUGCCCAAAUGAAAUGUGGGUUGUGGGGUGAUGGAUAUGCUAAUAAAGGAAACACAGAAAGUCAGGAAGAAAGUGAGGAAGGACCCCCCUAGCAGGUCCAAAAGACCCAGAUUAUGAGGUGGGGAAAAACAGAGACCAAAAUGAAGAAACCCAUUUCAAUUUUCAAGGCCCAACUAGACAUGCAAGGUGGGAUAUAGAGAAAUGAAUAUGCAAACAAUGGGAAAAAAAUGAGGAAGAAGGCACUUACCACCCCCAGAAAGACCAGUCUGGAAACACAAUGUCCAAGCUCCAAUCAUCUCCACAGUACCGGAACAAUGGCGGUGGGGCAGCGUUCGGGCCCCGGAAGUCUCUCAUUCGAACAACAGGCCUAUCAUCACAAUCAAACAUGAGCUCCAAGUCAGGCAGCCUUCCAGGGUACCAUCUCAGGAGCUGCAAAAUGCCCCACAAGGUGAACAUAUCUCUAGUCUGUAUGGACUUUCUGAACUUCUCAACAUAGGCCUUCCCAUCAAUGAUCACAAGUCUGAAAUGGGCCGUUCUUUGGGCCCGGUCCACCAUGUCCCUGGUGAUUCCGGUCUGCUUC